UUCGGUUCUUCCAUCGUCGCGACUCUUCACCCCUUCUCGCGAGACGCCGCAGGCCGCCGGCCCGGCCGGAGCGCGAGUCGGCGAGAACGAGACGCUCGCGCCGCCCGUCCUGCCCCGGCGCUCCGGCACCCAUCCCUCCACCUCGGCCGCGCAUCCUCCGGUCCUCGCUGGUCGCGCAGCGCAUCGUCCUCCCAGCAUCUCGCAACGCCCGUCAACCCACCCGCCGCCGGCCGUCAAAUCCUUGCUGCCAGGGGCCUCAGUACCUCACUGACGCAGCUCAACCAGGAUGGACACUGCAAGUGGGAGCGUGUGUGCAAGCACAGGAGCAUCGCCUGCUAUUACUGCUAUUACAGCAGGUCAAUCAGCACCAAAUCCACAGAGACCUGCUGCUGAGCUGGUGGCAAAGGAAGCAACCACAGACCUGCUCUAUGUACUAAGUUAUAAUGCCGUUGUCGUGUAAGUGUAAUCGAGUGUCUCUCGGUCUAGGACUCUAAACUACAUAGCAAGUUAGGAUGUUGUAUUGUCGUGUAAUUAAAUCUCUCAUCUAUAUAAUAAAUUAGAAAUGUCAUGUAAUUAAGCGUAAUCUAGUUAGAAUUUGGACUUGUAGGGUGUUGAAAUGGUUAUAACACGUGUGAUACAUAUGAAUGUUGCCUUUACUC